rnacentral:tRNA from 1 species
GUGGUAUUAGCUCAGUUGGUUAGAGCGUCUGCCUGUGGAGCAGAAGGUCGCCGGUCCGAGUCCGGUAUAUCACC